UGGGAGCACCCUUUGGGGUGUGACUGCGUACCUUUUGUAUAAUGGGUCAGCGACUUAUAUUCUGUAGCAAGGUUAACCGAAUAGGGGAGCCGGAGGGAAACCGAGUCUUAAUUGGGCGUUAAGUUGCAGGGUAUAGACCCGAAACCCGGUGAUCUAGCCAUGGGCAGGUUGAAGGUUGGGUAACACUAACUGGAGGACCGAACCGACUAAUGUUGAAAAAUUAGCGGAUGACCUGUGGCUGGGGGUGAAAGGCCAAUCAAACCGGGAGAUAGCUGGUUCUCCCCGAAAGCUAUUUAGGUAGCGCCUCGUGAAUUCAUCUCCGGGGGUAGAGCACUGUUUCGGCUAGGGGGCCAUCCCGGCUUACCAACCCGAUGCAAACUGCGAAUACCGGAGAAUGUUAUCACGGGAGACACACGGCGGGUGCUAACGUCCGUCGUGAAGAGGGAAACAACCCAGACCGCCAGCUAAGGUCCCAAAGUCAUGGUUAAGUGGGAAACGAUGUGGGAAGGCCCAGACAGCCAGGAUGUUGGCUUAGAAGCAGCCAUCAUUUAAAGAAAGCGUAAUAGCUCACUGGUCGAGUCGGCCUGCGCGGAAGAUGUAACGGGGCUAAACCAUGCACCGAAGCUGCGGCAGCGACGCUGAUGCGUUGUUGGGUAGGGGAGCGUUCUGUAAGCCUGCGAAGGUGGCCUGUGAGGGUUGCUGGAGGUAUCAGAAGUGCGAAUGCUGACAUAAGUAACGAUAAAGCGGGUGAAAAGCCCGCUCGCCGGAAGACCAAGGGUUCCUGUCCAACGUUAAUCGGGGCAGGGUGAGUCGACCCCUAAGGCGAGGCCGAAAGGCGUAGUCGAUGGGAAACGGGUUAAUAUUCCCGUACUUGGUGUUACUGCGAAGGGGGGACGGAGAAGGCUAUGUUGGCCGGGCGACGGUU
rnacentral:rRNA from 1 species